rnacentral:lncRNA from 11 species
AGCAAAGGUUACGUCAACAAUAGAAAACAAUGUCAGCUCUUAUCUCUGAGGCCUCUGCUCUAUAAUCCAUUAUUGGAAGUGGUGCACUGAGCAUGGGAUCUAGGCAUAUGUUCGAGUCCCAUAAAGGGAAUAGUCCAGAAGGUCAGCAGACAUAUGGCAGAAAGGCCAAGAAGUCAACAUGUCGAGAAGGCAGCAAGCCAAGCUGCUGACAGGAGGGUGACAUCUGCCUCAGAUCCCAAACUUUCUGCUGAAAAUAUAUUGCCCAGGAAUACAUGCACGUUGUUAACUGAACUAUCUAUACUCA